ensembl:snRNA U6 U6 spliceosomal RNA
GUACUUGCUUUGGCAGCACAUACCCUAAAAUUGGAAUGAUACAGAGAUUAGCAUGGCUCUUGUGCAAGGAUGACACACAAAUUUGUGAAGUGUUCCAUAUUUAA